rnacentral:rRNA from 1 species
GACGAACCGUACAAACGUUAUUCGGUGUCACUGGGCUUAAAGGGUGCGUAGGCGGCGGAGAAAGUUAGGUGUGAAAUCCCUCGGCUCAACCGAGGAAUGGCGCUUAAAACUACUUCGCUCGAGGAAGAUAGAGGUGAGCGGAACUUACGGUGGAGCGGUGAAAUGCGUUGAGAUCGUAGGGAACACCAGUUGCGAAAGCGGCUCACUGGGUCUUUGCUGACGCUGAGGCACGAAAGCUAGGGUAGCGAACGGG